GAUGAACGCUGGCGGCGUGCCUAAUACAUGCAAGUCGAGCGAACGGACGAGAAGCUUGCUUCUCUGAUGUUAGCGGCGGACGGGUGAGUAACACGUGGAUAACCUACCUAUAAGACUGGGAUAACUUCGGGAAACCGGAGCUAAUACCGGAUGAUAUUUUGAACCGCAUGGUUCAAAAGUGAAAGACGGUCUUGCUGUCACUUAUAGAUGGAUCCGCGCUGCAUUAGCUAGUUGGUAAGGUAACGGCUUACCAAGGCAACGAUGCAUAGCCGACCUGAGAGGGUGAUCGGCCACACUGGAACUGAGACACGGUCCAGACUCCUACGGGAGGCAGCAGUAGGGAAUCUUCCGCAAUGGGCGAAAGCCUGACGGAGCAACGCCGCGUGAGUGGUGAAGGUCUUCGGAUCGUAAAACUCUGUUAUUAGGGAAGAACAUAUGUGUAAGUAACUGUGCACAUCUUGACGGUACCUAAUCAGAAAGCCACGGCUAACUACGUGCCAGCAGCCGCGGUAAUACGUAGGUGGCAAGCGUUAUCCGGAAUUAUUGGGCGUAAAGCGCGCGUAGGCGGUUUUUUAAGUCUGAUGUGAAAGCCCACGGCUCAACCGUGGAGGGUCAUCGGAAACUGGAAAACUUGAGUGCAGAAGAGGAAAGUGGAAUUCCAUGUGUAGCGGUGAAAUGCGCAGAGAUAUGGAGGAACACCAGUGGCGAAGGCGACUUUCUGGUCUGUAACUGACGCUGAUGUGCGAAAGCGUGGGGAUCAAACAGGAUUAGAUACCCUGGUAGUCCACGCCGUAAACGAUGAGUGCUAAGUGUUAGGGGGUUUCCGCCCCUUAGUGCUGCAGCUAACGCAUUAAGCACUCCGCCUGGGGAGUACGACCGCAAGGUUGAAACUCAAAGGAAUUGACGGGGACCCGCACAAGCGGUGGAGCAUGUGGUUUAAUUCGAAGCAACGCGAAGAACCUUACCAAAUCUUGACAUCCUUUGACAACUCUAGAGAUAGAGCCUUCCCCUUCGGGGGACAAAGUGACAGGUGGUGCAUGGUUGUCGUCAGCUCGUGUCGUGAGAUGUUGGGUUAAGUCCCGCAACGAGCGCAACCCUUAAGCUUAGUUGCCAUCAUUAAGUUGGGCACUCUAAGUUGACUGCCGGUGACAAACCGGAGGAAGGUGGGGAUGACGUCAAAUCAUCAUGCCCCUUAUGAUUUGGGCUACACACGUGCUACAAUGGACAAUACAAAGGGCAGCGAAACCGCGAGGUCAAGCAAAUCCCAUAAAGUUGUUCUCAGUUCGGAUUGUAGUCUGCAACUCGACUACAUGAAGCUGGAAUCGCUAGUAAUCGUAGAUCAGCAUGCUACGGUGAAUACGUUCCCGGGUCU
rnacentral:rRNA from 1 species